rnacentral:rRNA from 1 species
UACGGAGGGUGCGAGCGUUGUUCGGAAUCACUGGGCGUAAAGCGCGUGUAGGCGGCCCAUUAAGUCUGAUGUGAAAGCCCGGGGCUCACCCCCGGAAGUGCAUUGGAUACUGAAGGGCUGGAGUACCGGAGAGGAGGGUGGAAUUCCUGGUGUAGCGGUGAAAUGCGUAGAUAUCAGGAGGAACACCUGUGGCGAAGGCGGCCCUCUGGACGGAUACUGACGCUGAGACGCGAAAGCGUGGGGAGCAAACAGG